UACAGAGGUCUCAAGCGUUGUUCGGAUUCAUUGGGCGUAAAGGGUGCGUAGGCGGCGCGGUAAGUCGGGUGUGAAAUCUCGGAGCUUAACUCCGAAACUGCAUUCGAUACUGCCGUGCUUGAGGACUGGAGAGGAGACUGGAAUUUACGGUGUGGCGGUGAAAUGCGUAGAUAUCGUAAGGAAGACCAGUGGCGAAGGCGGGUCUCUGGACAGUUCCUGACGCUGAGGCACGAAAGCGUGGGGAGCAAACAGG
rnacentral:rRNA from 1 species